rnacentral:rRNA from 1 species
UACAGAGGUCCCAAGCGUUGUUCGGAUUCAUUGGGCGUAAAGGGUGCGUAGGCGGCGCGGUAAGUCGGGUGUGAAAUCUCGGGGCUUAACUCCGAAACUGCAUUCGAUACUGCCGUGCUUGAGGACUGGAGAGGAGACUGGAAUUUACGGUGUAGCGGUGAAAUGCGUAGAUAUCGAUAAGGAAGACCAGUGGCGAAGGCGGGUCUCGUGGACAGUUCCUGACGCUGAGGCACGAAGGCCAGGGGAGCAAACGGG